ACACUCCUGCGGGAGGCAGCAGUGGGGAAUUUUGGACAAUGGGCGAAAGCCUGAUCCAGCAAUGCCGCGUGAGUGAAGAAGGCCUUCGGGUUGUAAAGCUCUUUUGUCAGGGAAGAAACGGUGAGAGCUAAUAUCUUUUGCUAAUGACGGUACCUGAAGAAUAAGCACCGGCUAACUACGUGCCAGCAGCCGCGGUAAUACGUAGGGUGCAAGCGUUAAUCGGAAUUACUGGGCGUAAAGCGUGCGCAGGCGGUUUUGUAAGUCUGAUGUGAAAUCCCCGGGCUCAACCUGGGAAUUGCAUUGGAGACUGCAAGGCUAGAAUCUGGCAGAGGGGGGUAGAAUUCCACGUGUAGCAGUGAAAUGCGUAGAUAUGUGGAGGAACACCGAUGGCGAAGGCAGCCCCCUGGGUCAAGAUUGACGCUCAUGCACGAAAGCGUGGGGAGCAAACAGGAUUAGAUACCCGGGUAGUCC
rnacentral:rRNA from 1 species